ensembl:snoRNA
ACCCUCCAGCAUUCUGAUCCCUCAGAUCUAAAUAUUGGUCUUAGUAGCUAAAAAGAAGGAAGAAAAGUAAAAUUAAAGUGGAUGUGGACUCUUUAGUAACAUAAAAAGUUCAUUUCAAACAUAU